GCUUGACUGUAGCUUGUAAUUGGGUUCGGGCUUUUUUUGCGCAGCCUAGGUGGGAGGCAACGAUGAUUUUUUUCCGGAAAAAUUUGAGCCGUUAGUGAGAGACCACUCUGAAAAGGCUAGAAUCCUAAUAAUGAUCCUUGAAUCAGGACAUUUGACAGUUGCAGGUGGGCAGUUUUACUGGGGCGGUAUCUCCUAAAAAGUAACGGAGGGGUGCAAAGGUUCCCUCAAGCUGGACGGAAAUCAGCUUAAGAGUGUAAAGGCAAAAGGGAGCUUGACUGCAAGACCUACGAGUCGAGCAGGGGCGAAAGCCGGCCUUAGUGAUCCGACGGUACCACGUGGAAGGGCCGUCGCUCAACGGAUAAAAGUUA
rnacentral:rRNA from 1 species